UACAUAUGGGGCAAGCGUUGUUCGGAAUUACUGGGCAUAAAGGGUGCGUAGGUGGUCUGUUAAGUCAGGGGUGAAAUCCCACGGCUCAACCGUGGAACUGCUCGGUAUACUGAUUUUCUUGAGCCACUUAGGGGCUGUCGGAACAAGCGGUGGAGCGGUGAAAUGCGUAGAUAUCGCUUGGAACGCCAAAGGUGAAAACAGACAGCUGGGAGUGUGCUGACGCUGAGACACGAAGGCCAGGGGAGCAAACGGG
rnacentral:rRNA from 1 species